rnacentral:lncRNA from 12 species
UUAUUCUUCUCUCUGGUAGCUCUGUGAUUUUAUAACACUUAUUCUUCUCUCACUCACAUUCCUGCUACCUUUCCCUAAUCUCCUAUCCCUCUUGGGUUCCAAAUUACACUGAAGGGAUCCACUGCUUUCAUGCAAGUCCAGCCAGCCCUACAUUUUUUGUUUCUUUCUAAUAUUUAGGAUUAAAGUAGCUGCAGACAUUUGGAGAUAGUUCACAUCCUGCUGGAAUUCAGUGAAUGACUUAACUUCUCUAAAAUGGAAUAUGACUAUAUUAUUUAUAUUUUGUUUUUGCUUUGUUACCAGGCAAUCAUUAUGAAGUCCAUUGAUAUAUUGUGUGUCAGUUGAGUUUUGUGCCUCAUCACAUAGGCAGUGGGAAGAGUGUAAUAGCUGCUUUGGGGAGUGGAAGAGGCUGAAAGGAAGACAAAGAGUGAAGGUGGGGAAACAAGAUGGUAGUGGUGGAGAGAACCAGUGAAGGAGAAGGUUAAGGUGGUGCUGAGAAGGAAUAGAGAGAUUUUUCUUCUCUUUAAGAGAAGCAGAGGAAAGAAUCCAGCUGCUGACAAUAUAGGGAUAUCUGGCUCCAGGAAUAACAGAUUCUAUGGUACUCAGCUUCUUCAAAAUGGUGUAUAAUGCUGGUAUUUCACCGAAGAUUCAGGGUUGCAAAUCCUUGAGUUUUGUGUGGCCACAGCCACUUCCUGGGAUUGUCCCAAGAGAAAUGUAACCAUAGACAUCCAGGUGAAUUAGGGAGAGCGCAAGUGAAGACAGUAUACUGGCAAGAAGUCUUGGAAAUGCUGAGAAAGCCAUGGAAUUGCUGGUCUUUUCAACUUUGUCAAAUUUUGAAGUUACCAUAAACAAUGAUAUUUCUGGUUCAUUUCCCUUUUUUGUAUUUUUUCUUGAAAUAUAUUUGUUAAAAUGAGAUGAUUAAAUCAUAAGCUAUAACAAACCCUCUAGCUCUUGUUAUAUACUGUCUGAUUGAACCAAUUCAUUACAUUAUGUCCUAUAAUACAUUUAAAAUUUUAAUUCAGUAAACAUGCAAUAGUAUCUCAUACUUGUUUUAAGUUGUGUUUAUUUAUUAUAAAGUUUGCAUGUUUCCCACAUGUUUUGGCCCUGUGUUUUCUAAUAUAUUAACUACUUCUGUCAUUUUAAUUCUUGUUAAGCUUAGCUAUUUUUUAAUAGCAAGUUAGGAAUAUACUCAGGAAAUAGAAAUUAAAACUGAGUAUGAACCAUUUGAUUUCCUCUUCAUUAGGAAGAGAGUCAAGUGUAGUUUAUUGAACCAGACCACAGCAGCCUCCUCCUCACCCCCACU